rnacentral:rRNA from 1 species
CGCCUGGGGAGUACGGCCGCAAGGUUAAAACUCAAAUGAAUUGACGGGGGCCCGCACAAGCGGUGGAGCAUGUGGUUUAAUUCGAUGCAACGCGAAGAACCUUACCUGGUCUUGACAUCCACAGAACUUUCCAGAGAUGGAUUGGUGCCUUCGGGAACUGUGAGACAGGUGCUGCAUGGCUGUCGUCAGCUCGUGUUGUGAAAUGUUGGGUUAAGUCCCGCAACGAGCGCAACCCUUAUCCUUUGUUGCCAGCGGUCGGCCGGGAACUCAAAGGAGACUGCCAGUGAUAAACUGGAGGAAGGUGGGGAUGACGUCAAGUCAUCAUGCCCUUACGACCAGGGCUACACACGUGCUACAAUGGCAUAUACAAAGAGAAGCGACCUCGCGAGAGCAAGCGGACCUCAUAAAGUAUGUCGUAGUCCGGAUUGGAGUCUGCAACUCGACUCCAUGAAGUCGGAAUCGCUAGUAAUCGUAGAUCAGAAUGCUACGGUGAAUACGUUCCCGGGCCUUGUACACACCGCCCGUCACACCAUGGGAGUGGGUUGCAAA